UAGGGAAUCUUCCACAAUGGGCGAAAGCCUGAUGGAGCAACGCCGCGUGUGUGAUGAAGGGUUCCGGCUCGUAAAACACUGUUGUAAGAGAAGAAUGACAUUGAGAGUAACUGUUCAAUGUGUGACGGUAUCUUACCAGAAAGGAACGGCUAAAUACGUGCCGG
rnacentral:rRNA from 1 species